CCUUGUCUCAAAAGAAAAAAAAACAGCCCUUGCUCACGUAUCGCUUCGCGAGGCAGGAAGUAACGCCGCCGCCAUGAAAACUGGUCGCCGCCGCCAUGGAAUCUUCUCGCCGCCGGAGGAUAGGUAGGCGGGGCCGCGGGGGUUGCUCUUCCGCCGCUGGAGACCCGGGACGGCCUCCUGGCUCUCCCCGGUGGUGGAUCCGCCACUGCGUCCUCGUGCGGUGGCCGGAGACCAAGCACGCAGGUGUUCGACGCAGGCCCGACCGGCGCAUCCCGCGACCCUUGAUUGCUGGUCUGCUCCCGAAUUUCGAGGGUCGAUACACGUACAUGAUUUGGACAAGAGCAUGUGGAGGUAUGUGAAGGGGUUCUUAUUGAACAUUGUAUGCAGUUUUUUACAAUUUAGGUUAUCAUGUCGAUGGAAUAGGUGCAACCACAGUAAAAAAUGCUUCCUCUGUAACUUAAUAUAAGACGUUUUUUAUACCAUCAUGGACUCUAAAAACGUCUUAGAGCAAGUACAACAAGCUUAUGUAAGCAGGCUAUAAGAGUUAAAAUAUUAUUUUUCUGUUGACAUGGAGGGGAGAAAAUAGGAGAGAGAAGAGGAGCGGCUACAGAAUAAGAGCCAGCUGUAGCACGUGCUCCUAGGCACUAUGUGAGGAUGAAAGGUGGGCCAUGUAUUUAUAAAGUAGCACAUCUUUAUAUCUAACUAUUGUACUUGCCGGCUAUAAGGUUGGCUACAGAUGACAUGGCAACAUCAUAUAGCCAUCAGGUGGUUGUACUAUUAACAUGCUCUUAUGAAAAGUUACAGGAGGGAGUAGCUAUCAGCAGUGAGUGGUCAUUGCACAUAGUUUCUUGUAACUAUGAUCUGCAAGUGACCAGUGCAGUUGGUUGAUGGCAUAAUGGGUUAUAACUAUCUCCAUAUGGCCUUGCGCAGCCUGUUUAUGCUGCUCAAAACCUAGUUCUUCUUCUCGGCAUCCGGACUACCAUCACUUCUAUUUGCAGGGUAGAUGCCAUGCAAGCUAGCUUGAUCACAUGAUUUCCCCAGAAGUCCUGUCCUAGCUUUCUAAUUUCAUCUAGUCAGUGUCAUUUCGUUAUAUUUUAACACAUGUAUAAAGACAAUGCUGAAGCUAUGCACACCUACCCACAACAUCAACAUCAGGUAUAUUGUUGGGGUUAAUUGGGUUUGACUUGUUCUGGCCUGAACUUUUUCUAACCUAUUUAAUGAGAGUUACAUCUUUUUUCUUAAACACAAACAAUAGCAUCCAGUAGUUGCAACUGAAUCUGCUGGAGGUUAAAUUUCUGCGCCAUCUAUCUAAUUCUGUAUAAUAAACAAGUGGUGUCAUACUUUUUUUUUUUUUAGAUUGAAUGAGAAGCAGCCUCAUCUAUUCUAAUCCAUGAUAAGGACAAGACAUACUCCUAGUGUUUUCUUUAGAUUAUAAUCAUACAAAUGAAAUAACCAGCAUAGGAAAAUUUCCUAUGGGUUUAAAUUGCUUUCAAGUGUUUUGGUUGAUAAUGUUUUGAUGCUCUUUAGUAUGUGUAGCGUCACUUCAAUUCAUUUCUAGUUGUUAAUUAGCACAGAGGUAUAUGCAGUUAACCCCAUCAAAUAUUUUUCUCUUUGCCUGGAACUCGACGGGCAGGGCCGGACCUGACAUUUCGACGGCCCAGGUGUCGUUGCUAAAACCGGCGAAUCUCGGGUAGGGGGUCCCAAGCUGAAGAUCUAAGCUAGAUAGUAACAGGAAGAAGGGGGACACGGUGUUUAUCCAGGUUCGGGCCCUCUCAAAGAGAGUUCAAAAGGAAAAACGGAAACAGUGGUCUUGGCCCAUAUUCAUGGCUCGGCUCACUUCCUGUCACACGAAGAUGAAGCAGAAUCCCCUUGGGAAAAAAGAUGAAGACGAAGAAGAGGCAAAUCCUCGCACGCGGCAACCCAGUGCGGCGGCUUGGCGACAUCGGCGCUCCAGCAUCAUUGGCCGGAGACUGGGCAGGCCGAUGGCCAGGCGGCACAUCCCGUGACCCGGCUGCUUUCCUCUUGGCUUCCGAGAUUGAAUGCCUGUAACUCGAGAUACCGGAUUUACCAGGGAUGUUGAUCUUGCUGGGGCAGGAGCCACAGACAUCGUCUUGCUGAACUGAGAACCACUUGAGCUCACACGGUUUGGGCAGUGAGAACAAAUUACAAGGCUUUAGCCAAAAUAUCUGGCUAAGACUAUCUGAUCAUAUAGGACUCCUACACCAAAGAAAAUACCAAAGGCGAUCGCAAAGAUAACCUCA